rnacentral:rRNA from 1 species
AAAAGCCUUCGGGCGGUGUGGGAUGGGCCCGCGUCUGAUUAGCUGGUUGGCGGGGCAGCGGCCCACCAAGGCGACGAUCAGUAGCCGGCCUGAGAGGGUGGACGGCCACAUUGGGACUGAGACACGGCCCAAACUCCUACGGGAGGCAGCAGUGGGGAAUAUUGCACAAUGGGGGAAACCCUGAUGCAGCGACGCCGCGUGAGCGAAGAAGUAUUUCGGUAUGUAAAGCUCUAUCAGCAGGGAAGAAAAUGACGGUACCUGAGUAAGAAGCUCCGGCUAAAUACGUGCCAGCAGCCGCGGUAAUACGUAUGGAGCAAGCGUUAUCCGGAUUUACUGGGUGUAAAGGGAGCGCAGGCGGUCUGGCAAGUCUGAUGUGAAAUACCGGGGCUCAACUCCGGGACUGCAUUGGAAACUGUCAGACUGGAGUGUCGGAGAGGCAGGCGGAAUUCCUGGUGUAGCGGUGAAAUGCGUAGAUAUCAGGAGGAACACCAGUGGCGAAGGCGGCCUGCUGGACGAUGACUGACGCUGAGGCUCGAAAGCGUGGGGAGCAAACAGGAUUAGAUACUCUGGUAGUCCACGCCGUAAACGAUGAAUACCAGGUGUCGGGGAGCAGAGCUCUUCG